rnacentral:rRNA from 1 species
CCUACGGGAGGCAGCAGUGAGGAAUAUUGGGCAAUGGGGGCAACCCUGACCCAGCCAUGCCGCGUGAGUGAAGAAGGUCUUCGGAUUGUAAAGCUCUUUUAAGGGGGAAGAGCAGAAGACGGUACCCCUUGAAUAAGCCACGGCUAACUACGUGCCAGCAGCCGCGGUAAUACGUAGGUGGCAAGCGUUGUCCGGAUUUACUGGGUGUAAAGGGCGUGCAGCCGGAGAGACAAGUCAGAUGUGAAAUCCACGGGCUCAACCCGUGAACUGCAUUUGAAACUGUUUCCCUUGAGUGUCGGAGAGGUAAUCGGAAUUCCUUGUGUAGCGGUGAAAUGCGUAGAUAUAAGGAAGAACACCAGUGGCGAAGGCGGAUUACUGGACGAUAACUGACGGUGAGGCGCGAAAGCGUGGGGAGCAAACAGGAUUAGAUACCCUUGUAGUC